GACGAACGCUGGCGGCGUGCUUAACACAUGCAAGUCGAACGGAAAGGCCCUGCUUUUGUGGGGUGCUCGAGUGGCGAACGGGUGAGUAACACGUGAGUAACCUGCCCUUGACUUUGGGAUAACUUCAGGAAACUGGGGCUAAUACCGGAUAGGAGCUCCUGCUGCAUGGUGGGGGUUGGAAAGUUUCGGCGGUUGGGGAUGGACUCGCGGCUUAUCAGCUUGUUGGUGGGGUAGUGGCUUACCAAGGCUUUGACGGGUAGCCGGCCUGAGAGGGUGACCGGCCACAUUGGGACUGAGAUACGGCCCAGACUCCUACGGGAGGCAGCAGUGGGGAAUAUUGCACAAAGGGCGGAAGCCUGAUGCAGCAACGCCGCGUGCGGGAUGACGGCCUUCGGGUUGUAAACCGCUUUCGCCUGUGACGAAGCGUGAGUGACGGUAAUGGGUAAAGAAGCACCGGCUAACCACGU
rnacentral:rRNA from 1 species